GAUUUAAGGAUCUCUAGGCAGUGUUGUCUUAAACUUUUCUUUUUUUUUUGGAAACUUUUAUUUUAAUACAGAAUCUAAUCUACAGAAAAGUUGCAAAGAACUUCUAUAUGCCCUUUACCCAGACUCACCAGUCAUUUAUGUUUUCCCUGUUACUUCCUCAUCUCCCCUCUCUCUGUCUUUUAUACACAGUGUGUACAAUGUGUAUUCGCUUUUUUAGAACGAACUUUAUCCAUAGUAGCAGUGUACAUUCCCACUAGCAACUUAGGAGAGUUUCAGUUACUCUACUCCACAUCCUUCCAACAGUUGAUAUCACCAGUGUAACUGCAUAAGUAAUGUUAAUUUAAAGAUACAGCAAAUGUUUUUGUUUCUUUAUUUCAGAUGAGAAAUAACUUUAGACAUUAUUUCAUUGAACCUUCCCAACUGAAAUUAUUUUAUGAUGUUAUAACAUGGAUAGUAACUCAAGUAGCAAUAAGUUACACAGUUGUGCCAUUUGUGCUUCUUUCUAUAAAACCAUCACUCACGUUUUACAGCUCCUGGUAUUAUUGCCUGCACAUUCUUGGUAUCUUAGUAUUAUUG
rnacentral:lncRNA from 1 species